AACGAACGCUGGCGGCAUGCCUAACACAUGCAAGUCGAACGAGACCUUCGGGUCUAGUGGCGCACGGGUGCGUAACGCGUGGGAACCUGCCCUUAGGUUCGGAAUAACUCCCCGAAAGGGGUGCUAAUACCGGAUAAUGUCUUCGGACCAAAGAUUUAUCGCCUUUGGAUGGGCCCGCGUUGGAUUAGCUAGUUGGUAGGGUAAAAGCCUACCAAGGCGAUGAUCCAUAGCUGGUCUGAGAGGAUGAUCAGCCACACUGGGACUGAGACACGGCCCAGACUCCUACGGGAGGCAGCAGUGGGGAAUAUUGGACAAUGGGCGGAAGCCUGAUCCAGCAAUGCCGCGUGAGUGAUGAAGGCCUUAGGGUUGUAAAGCUCUUUUACCCGGGAUGAUAAUGACAGUACCGGGAGAAUAAGCUCCGGCUAACUCCGUG
rnacentral:rRNA from 1 species